rnacentral:rRNA from 1 species
AUACGGGAGGCAGCAGUGGGGAAUCUUGCGCAAUGCGCGAAAGCGUGACGCAGCAACGCCGCGUGGGGGAAGAAGGCCUUCGGGUUGUAAACCCCUUUCAGUUGGGACGAAGCUUCGCCGGUGAAUAGCCGGCUGGAGUGACGGUACCUUCAGAAGAAGCCCCGGCUAACUACGUGCCAGCAGCCGCGGUAAUACGUAGGGGGCAAGCGUUGUCCGGAAUCAUUGGGCGUAAAGAGCGUGUAGGCGGCUCGGUAAGUCCGCUGUGAAAGUCCAGGGCUCAACCCUGGAAUGCCGGUGGAAACUGUCGAGCUAGAGUCCGGAAGAGGCGAGUGGAAUUCCUGGUGUAGCGGUGAAAUGCGCAGAUAUCAGGAGGAACACCAAUGGCGAAGGCAGCUCGCUGGGACGGUACUGACGCUGAGACGCGAAAGCGUGGGGAGCAAACAGGAUUAGAUACCCCGGUAGA